AUUGAACGCUGGCGGCAUGCCUUACACAUGCAAGUCGAGCGGCAGCGCGGGGGCAACCCUGGCGGCGAGCGGCGGACGGGUGAGUAAUACAUCGGAACGUGUCCUUUCGUGGGGGAUAACCAGUCGAAAGACUGGCUAAUACCGCAUGAGAUCGAAAGAUGAAAGCGGGGGAUCGCAAGACCUCGCGCGAUUGGAGCGGCCGAUGUCGGAGUAGCUAGUUGGCGGGGUAAGAGCCCACCAAGGCGACGAUCCGUAGCUGGUUUGAGAGAACGACCAGCCACACUGGGACUGAGACGCGGCCCAGACUCCUACGGGAGGCAGCAGUGGGGAAUUUUGGACAAUGGGCGCAAGCCUGAUCCAGCCAUGCCGCGUGUGUGAAGAAGGCCUUCGGGUUGUAAAGCACUUUCGGCCGGAACGAAAUCGCGCGGGCGAAUAUCUCGCGUGGAUGACGGUACCGGAGGAAGAAGCACCGGCUAACUACGUGCCAGCAGCCGCAGUAACAC
rnacentral:rRNA from 1 species